rnacentral:lncRNA from 1 species
UCCCUCUGUAUGCAGAAUAUUGUGCAACAUGGUUAUGGGUACUACAGUGGAUGUGAGUGUGUAGACCUUGUACAAUAGAGCUUAUAGGCUAAUGAGAAGACAGGAAGAAACAACAGGAACACAUAUAGCUGGAAUGCAGAUGGGAUCUGUGCUACUUACGCUAGCCAUGGGAUGAUUAGAACAAGAUAAGAGACAUGAGGAAGACUUCUUCAAGGAGGUGCUCAAGCCAUGUUUUGGAAAAGAGAACUCAAGGUCUGGCAGGGAGAAAGGAGCAAGGUCCCCAAGCAUGCUAACCAUGAAGCAGUGAUAUCGCACAGCACCUGCUUCCAGCAGCCCGGAGCCAAGGGGCAAAAUGGAAAGAGUCAGCAUUUCUCUUUUAGGUUCUCUGCCUCUCUAGUGUGGCAAGUAGAGCUGCAGCUGUCUGGCGCCACUGUAAUGCUGUCUCCUCCUCUGAGUGAGUUCAUCCUGGAAACAUUUUCUCCCAUAAGACAUGCACAGGUCUUACGUUUACAUGUUUCACUGAAAGAAAUUUGAUUCCACUGCUGGGAUGACAAGGAAGACUGAAGAAACCUAAUCCUAGGUGCUGCCACUGGGACAAACAAGAAGCACCAGACACAGUGCUGUUUUAGGGUGGGGCAGAAUUAUGCUGAGGGAAAAGUUAUUAUCACUCUUUAAGGCCAAGGAAACCACAAUUUUUAAAGAAGCUUCUAGAAAUUCUACCCAGUAGAAAAUAAAGAUAAACUUCUGUAAGGAAUUUCAUUCUUUUCAGAAUUCGCAAUCUGAAA